AUGGAGACAUGGCAUAAAGCCAGAAGGAGAAGCUAACUAGAUUCUCGACUUGAACUGAUCUGCAUCUCAUUUU
rfam:Nestor notabilis contig45251, whole genome shotgun sequence.